rnacentral:rRNA from 1 species
AGUGAACGCUGGCGGCAGGCCUAAUACAUGCAAGUCGAACGGCAGCACAGUGGAGCUUGCUCCAUGGGUGGCGAGUGGCGGACGGGUGAGGAAUACAUGGGAAUCUGCCCAGUCGUGGGGGAUAACGUAUGGAAACGUACGCUAAUACCGCAUGCGCCCUUCGGGGAAAGUCGGGGACCGCAAGGCCUGACGCGAUUGGAUGAGCCCAUGUUCGAUUAGCUAGUUGGCGGGUAACGGCCCACCAAGGCGACGAUCGAUAGCUGGUCUGAGAGGAUGAUCAGCCACACUGGAACUGAGACACGGUCCAGACUCCUACGGGAGGCAGCAGUAGGGAAUAUUGGACAAUGGGCGCAAGCCUGAUCCAGCCAUGCCGCGUGAGUGAAGAAGG